CCUUGAGUUCCUCCAUGACCAGACCGUGAGCCUCCAAGAAAGGAUUGUGCUUUUUCACAUCUCUCCAAAGAGUCUGGGAUAUAGUAGAAAAGAAGGCUCUUGCGGUUUGGGAUUGAGCAUUCAGAGAAGAAAUGGGGCGACCACUCUUGGAAUACGGCAUCUGCUUCUGGCUGCUCAUGACUGGGUUUAUGGAAACCAGCUGGAUGAUGUUCAAAGAAAAGCUCCAGAAUGAUUAAGGGGCUGAUGGCAUUGAUUAAUAAGGAAAGCUUGAAAGAAUUAAAUGCGCACAGCUCAGCCAAGCAAAGACUGAGGAAAAACAAGCUGAUGCAGAUGAAAUAAAAGACAGAGGGAGAGAUCCCGUCUACAAUGCAAAGCCAUCCUGGAUUUUCGUUGGCGUUUUUGAAAUUUCGUUGGCUGCUUUUGACUUACAUUCAAAUCAGAGUUUGGAGCGCAGCGCGCAGGAAAGUCAUCGUCUCCUUGCAAGGUGAGACGUGGGACUGGAGAGAGAGCAGAUGGAAGGUUCAUUCUCCUGCAGUGGGUAGACUCUCUGACAGCCUGGGAGGAUUUGACACCCCUCCUGGCAGCCAGUCCAACAGCGAAGGAAAUAUCUGCUGGAACCAAGCAUGCCACUAAUCAAAUAAAGAUGCAGAACCGUAAAACAGGCUCCAUUU